rnacentral:rRNA from 1 species
ACUUAUAUGACGGCAGACUGGGGUUUCCGGAAGCAUUAUCUUUACCUGUUGCCUCCGCCUCGCGGUGUUGAGGCGACUUUGGUAGGCGUGCUUUUUCCCAGUCUGUUUGAAUAUUCACCCAUGUCUUUUGCGUACUUCUUGUUUCCUUGGUGGGUCCGCCCACCAAUAGGACACCCAUAAACCUUUUGCAAUUGCAGUCAGCGUCAGUAAAAACAAAAUUAUUACAACUUUCAACAACGGAUCUCUUGGUUCUGGCAUCGAUGAAGAACGCAGCGAAAUGCGAUAAGUAGUGUGAAUUGCAGAAUUCAGUGAAUCAUCGAAUCUUUGAACGCACAUUGCGCCCUUUGGUAUUCCAAAGGGCAUGCCUGUUCGAGCGUCAUUUGUACCCUCAAGCCUUGCUUGGUGUUGGGCGCUUUGUCUUACGAGACUCGCCUUAAAACAAUUGGCAGCCGGCAUACUGGUUUUGAAGUGCAGCACAAAUUGCGCUUCUACUAUGAAUGCGGGCGUCCAUGAAGCGUACUUUUUUAACGUUUGACCUCGGAUCAGGUAGGGAU